rnacentral:rRNA from 1 species
AGAGUUUGAUCCUGGCUCAGAUUGAACGCUGGCGGCAGGCCUAACACAUGCAAGUCGAGCGGAUGAGUGGAGCUUGCUCCAUGAUUCAGCGGCGGACGGGUGAGUAAUGCCUAGGAAUCUGCCUGGUAGUGGGGGACAACGUUUCGAAAGGAACGUUAAUACCGCAUACGUCCUACGGGAGAAAGUGGGGGAUCUUCGGACCUCACGCUAUCAGAUGAGCCUAGGUCGGAUUAGCUAGUUGGUGAGGUAAAGGCUCACCAAGGCGACGAUCCGUAACUGGUCUGAGAGGAUGAUCAGUCACACUGGAACUGAGACACGGUCCAGACUCCUACGGGAGGCAGCAGUGGGAAUUUUCCGCAAUGGGCGAAAGCCUGACGGAGCGACGCCGC